rnacentral:rRNA from 1 species
GACGAACGCUGGCGGCGUGCUUAACACAUGCAAGUCGAACGAAAAGGCCCUGCUUUUGUUGGGUGCUCGAUUGGCGAACGGGUGAGUAACACGUGAGUAACAUCCCCUUGACUUUGUGAUAACUUCAGGAAACUGGGGCUAAUACCCGAUAGGAUCUACUGCUGCAUGGUGUGGGUUGGUAAGUUUCGGCUGUUGUGGCUGGACUCGCUGGUUAUCCGCUUGUUUGUGGGGUAGUUGCUUACCAAGGCUUUGAGGGGUAGCCGGCCUGAGAGGGGGACCGGCCACAUGGGGACUGAGAGACGGCCCAGAAGGCAACGGGAGGCAGCAGGGGGGAACAUGACAGAAUGGGGGGAAGCCUGAUGCAGAAACGCCGCGUGCGGGAUGAUGGCCUUCGGGGUGUAAACAGAUGUGGCAGGAGAUGAAGAGUGAGUGACGGUAAUGGGUAAAGAAGCAACGGCUAACUACGUG